rnacentral:rRNA from 1 species
GGGAUUGCCCUAGUAACGGCGAGUGAAGCGGCAACAGCUCAAAUUUGAAAUCUGGCGUCUUUGGCGUCCGAGUUGUAAUUUGCAGAGGGCGCUUUGGCAUUGGCAGCGGUCCAAGUUCCUUGGAACAGGACGUCACAGAGGGUGAGAAUCCCGUACGUGGUCGCUAGCCUUUACCGUGUAAAGCCCCUUCGACGAGUCGAGUUGUUUGGGAAUGCAGCUCUAAAUGGGAGGUAAAUUUCUUCUAAAGCUAAAUACUGGCCAGAGACCGAUAGCGCACAAGUAGAGUGAUCGAAAGAUGAAAAGCACUUUGGAAAGAGAGUUAAAAAGCACGUGAAAUUGUUGAAAGGGAAGCGCUUGCAGCCAGACUUGCCUGUAGUUGCUCAUCCGGGUUUUUACCCGGUGCACUCUUCUAUAGGCAGGCCAGCAUCAGUUUGGGCGGUUGGAUAAAGGUCUCUGUCAUGUACCUCCUUUCGGGGAGAUCUUAUAGGGGAGACGACAUGCAACCAGCCUGGACUGAGGUCCGCGCAUCUGCUAGGAUGCUGGCGUAAUGGCUGUAAGCGGCCCGUCUUGAAACACGGACCAAGGAGUCUAACAUCUAUGCGAGUGUUUGGGUGUCAAGCCCGAACGCGUAAUGAAAGUGAACGGAGGUGGGAACCUUUCGGGGUGCACCAUCGACCGAUCCUGAUGUCUUCGGAUGGAUUUGAGUAAGAGCAUAGCUGUUGGGACCCGAAAGAUGGUGAACUAUGCUUGAAUAGGGUGAAGCCAGAGGAAACUCUGGUGGAGGCUCGCAGCGGUUCUGACGUGCAAAUCGAUCGUCAAAUUUGGGCAUAGGGGCGAAAGACUAAUCGAACUAUCUAGUAGCUGGUUCCUGCCGAAGUUUCCCUCAGGAUAGCAGUAACGUUUUCAGUUUUAUGAGGUAAAGCGAAUGAUUAGAGGCAUGGGGGUUGAAACAACCUU